UACGUAGGGGGCAAGCGUUGUCCGGAAUCAUUGGGCGUAAAGAGCGUGUAGGCGGUUCGGUAAGUCCGUCGUGAAAGUCCAGGGCUCAACCCUGGAAAGCCGAUGGAUACUGUCGGACUAGAGUCCGGAAGAGGCGAGUGGAAUCCUGGUGUAGCGGUGAAAUGCGCAGAGUAUCAGGAAGAACACCCUGCGAAGGCGGCUUCUGGGACGGUACUGACGCUGAGACGCGAAAGCGUGGGGAGCAACAGG
rnacentral:rRNA from 1 species